AAAGGCAGUUUUAGGAACAUCACCCGAAUAUAAAAGAUCUAAGUGUAUUUUUAGUUAUUAGGCUACUCUGUUGUAUUCUGUAGCAUUAGCUACUAAAAUAGUACCUUAGAGGUGAAAGGCCUUCAAUUUUAUGGAUAACUGGAUAAAUGUUAAAUAUAUUAAGUUUAAGAUAAACCUACAAAGUGAUAAGAUUUUAUAGGAUAUAAAUUGCUGUAUUUAAUGUAAUACCGUUAACUAAUAAUUACAGGUAUAACUUUAAUAAUUUAAUAAUUUUACAGUGUAACAAUUAUAUAGUAACAUUUCAUCUUAUCUAUUUAUGUAAGCAGGUGGAUAAUGUAUAAAUAAGUACAUAGUAUAAAUUUUAAUUAAGGAACUCGGCAACUAGAGAAUACGACUGUUUACCAAAAACAUAGCCGAUAGUUAUUAAAUUAUCGGUAAUACCUGCCCAGUGAAUUUUUAACGGCCGCAGUACUAUGACUGUGCAAAGGUAGCAUAAUCAUUUGGCUUUUAAUUGAAGUCUAGUAUGAAAGGAUAAACGUAUUUAGGCUGUCUCGAUUAUAAAAUUUAUGAAAAUUAUUUAUAAGGUGAAAAUACCUUAACCGCGAAAAAAAGACGAGAAGACCCUUAGAAUUUUAAGAAUAACCAAAGCUAUACUUGGAGUGAUUUUUGUUGGGGCAACAUUUUUUCAGUAAAACAAAAACUUAUAAUUAGCGAUAUAACGAUUAAGUUUAAUAAAAUAAAAAUUACCUAAGGGAUAACAGCAUAAUUUUAAGUAAAGAUUGUGACCUCGAUGUUGGAUUAGGGGCUAUUAAGGCUAGUCG
rnacentral:rRNA from 1 species